rnacentral:rRNA from 1 species
UUGAACGCUGGCGGCAUGCCUUACACAUGCAAGUCGAACGGCAGCACGGGAGCAAUCCUGGUGGCGAGUGGCGAACGGGUGAGUAAUAUAUCGGAACGUGCCCAAUCGUGGGGGAUAACUACGCGAAAGCGUGGCUAAUACCGCAUACGCCCUGAGGGGGAAAGCGGGGGACCUUCGGGCCUCGCGCGAUUGGAGCGGCUGAUGUCGGAUUAGCUGGUUGGUGGGGUAAAGGCCUACCAAGGCGACGAUCCGUAGCUGGUCUGAGAGGAUGAUCAGCCACACUGGGACUGAGACACGGUCCAGACUCCUACGGGAGGCAGCAGUGGGGAAUUUUGGACAAUGGGGGCAACCCUGAUCCAGCCAUUCCGCGUGAGUGAAGAAGGCCUUCGGGUUGUAAAGCUCUUUCAGCCGGAACGAAACGGUACGCUCUAACAUAGCGUGCUAAUGACGGUACCGGCAGAAGAAGCACCGGCUAACUACGU